rnacentral:tRNA from 1 species
GGCCCGGUGGCGGAAAGGUUACGCAAAAGCUGUGUAAGGCUUUCAUCUUGGUUCAAAUCCAAGCCGGGCCUCCA